CCUGAGUCCUGCACUGGCCCAGAAAAGUGCGGUUCCCUGCAGAGGCGUGCGAGAAGCACCAAGCAGAAGGGAGCUGGGAGCCUGGUGACAAAAUUUAUCACAUACACUCUGUUGGAGCCUAUGGCUGAUGAAGAGGUUUUGCCACCGAGCUGAUGACAGCUGAUCACUGCAACUUGCAUGUGUUCUCUCAGGUGAUGAGAGAACUCUCCAAGUGUGUAUCUGGGUUCCUGCUGCUGUUCAAGGUUUUGAGAUGUGAUGGAAGUCGCAGAACUUGGAGCCCACAGUGUGAUAUGCAAACAUCUGUGGCUGGUGUGCUGGGAUUCCAUUUUUCUUCUUCUUAGUGUCCUAGUGGCAUAACUACAUAGCCAGCAGAUGUUCAUUUGCUCCUUAAGGUGAAGAAGGAUACAGAGGCAGAGGGAUUAAAAGAAGAACUUUAUGUCACAACAAAGUAAUACAAAAGGAAAGCAGCACGCGAUGAAAAGAUAGGAAAUAUGGUUUUCCAGAGAAAGGAGGCUACAGGCAUCAAAUUAAAUGUGGUGAGAGAUGGACAGAACACAACUGUAAUCAUUCCUGGUACACCAGAAGCAGAAGGAGUAAGUCAGGGAAGAAACUGCCACCAGUCCUGAGUUUCUCAUGAUCACAAGAUCUCGUCUUCAGCUGCCUUCCCUGCAGAACUCCAACUGCUUUAUCCUGAAGGACUUCUUUUGCAGAAACUUUCUGGCCUGGUUUGUAUUUUCCUGUUCAUAUCAUGCCAGAAUCCUCGCAUCUUCAAGGGAGGUGAGUCACGUUUUCCAGUGGCUGAGGUAGUACUAUAGUGCAGUAAUAUCUCUUCCUUUGAUAUUUCCAUGCUAUAAUAAUUAUGGUACCUUGUUACCCCCACCUUCUGUAACAGUGGUAAAGAGAAGAGAGAUGUAUGU